AGGAAAAAAACAGAAAAAGAAAAAAAAGAAAAACAAGGGUAAGGGCUCACCUUGCUAAAGCAGAGAGGGAGAAGGAGACGCUGAGAGAGAGAGAGAGAGAGAGAGAGAGGGAAGGAGACGCUGAGAGAGGGAGAAGGAGACGUUGAGUCAGAGCAGGCACGUAACAGAUGACUUGGCUCUUGAUUGCCGUCUUCGUAGUUGGAUUGUGGGUGGUUUCACUAUGCUUUGUUCUCUAUGCUUCAUGUUCACCUUCCAUGGUUGCAUUUUCGUCUAGCCAAUCAGGUGUUGGGAGGAGAAAUGUCUUGCUGGUUGUCGCUCACCCUGAUGACGAGUCUAUGUUCUUCUCUCCGACCAUUCUUUACUUGACCUCGAGGGGGCAUAAUCUUCACAUGUUAUGUUUGUCAACAGGUAAUGCUGAUGGCCAGGGAAACAUUCGGAAGGAGGAACUUUACAAGGCAUGUGCCAUCCUCAAGGUUCCACUUCAACAGGUUAAAGUUCUUGACCAUCCAGCUUUACAGGAUGGAUUUGACAAGAGAUGGAGCCAUAAUUUAUUAGCAAAUAUUAUUGAAGAGGAAGUCAAGACAAAGGGUAUUGACUUGUUAAUUACUUUUGAUAACUACGGAGUUUCGGGUCAUCAGAAUCACCGGGAUGUGCAUCAUGGAAUAUGCAUGGUCUUAUGUGAGAAUUCACAAAGAAAAAUUGAAGCUUGGGAACUGAUUAGCACAAGCAUUGCACGCAAGUAUACUGGACCAGUGGAUAUCUGGUUGUCAAUCAUAUACUCCCUCUACUACCCAAGGGGACAAAUUUAUUGUUUGUUCAAUGGUCAUCCUCAUCAAAGCUUCCUUGCAAUGGCACAACAUGAGAGCCAGUGGGUUUGGUUUCGGAAGCUGUUUGUCUUGUUCUCUAGUUACACGUACAUGAACACACUUAAAAGAAUCAAUAUCUAGGUUCGCUUGUGUGAACUGCUAGGACGUCUGUCUUCUCAGUUCUAUGUUUAACUAGGGUGAAAAGUGAGUGUGGCUGUUGAAAGGUUCUGAGCAUGAUCCAUUGUGUUGCGUGUAGGCCUUUGCACUACGUCAGCCCCUCCAUGAUGAUGUGAUAUGCCACAUAUCAGGCCUAUCCAGUCGGGGGGCUACAUGUUCACGUGGUGGCCCACAUGAUGGUUGGCCCGGCCUGAUUUUUGGAGUGUCCAAGCAACAAAUAUCAAGCCAUGUGGACCCACGUGCAACCCUUGUAGAAUAAAUAGAUUCUGUAGUUCCCCGUCAUUGAUCUGAUAGGUCCCACUAUGGAAACUGCCCUGAAAAUCUCUCAUAUUAGAUCCUAGCCAAUCUGAUCAUUGGGCUAUUUUCACUUGAAUGUGUACUCGUUUCUCUUUGAAGGGCAAUGAUCGUUGUGUGUAGUGGAUUCUAUCGGUAUGUUCCACCCAUGUGGGGCCCAUUGGAGCAACAGUUAGGAUCUCUAGACUACUGGCUCACUGAAUGUGGAACUUGAAUUCUACAAAGCAGAGAACUUUGCUUCUAUAUACAUCCAACUACCCAGCUCUUUUUAUUACCCGUUAUCAAUUUCUAGUAGUUUUAUUCCUCCGUUGCUUCUGACUGCCUUUUUAAAAUUUUGAGAAAAAUGAACAUAUCAGUAGCAGAAAAUACAAAUUCGUUGAAAGUAAUAUAUCUGCAUCAAGAUGGGCAUACGGGUUGGUAUGCUCAGGCCCAUCAACCAUCCUUCGAUUAA